CUUUCUCUCUCUCUCUCUCUCUCUCUCCCUUUCUCUGUUUCUCUCUCUCUCGCUCUCUCCCUUUCUCUGUUUCUCUCUCUCAUUCGCUCUUCAAGUCUUGUCUUACUCUUCGGAUACACUUUUCCAUAGCUCAAGGUUACUUGUGUGAAUGUCUAUUUAUCACGUUUAGUUUUUCACGCCUCCUCCCACCUCAUGCCAUCACUAGUUAUUUUCUCAAUUGACUAUGGUCCUGUUCCCUAUUACUCCUGCUGAAACGCCACUUCCCCAACCAGAUGCUCGCACUCACAAAUUGUUUUCUCUUCCCAGAGAGCCAAAACGCCUCAGUCUGUGCCAGUACGACAACACUGGUGUCCGUUGUUUCUCUCCCUUUAGACUGUUCCAUGUAAACUCUAUUCUCCUUCACCACUACCAGCUUCCUCUCUCCCUGUGCGUCAGCCACGACAUUGCUGUUAUAUAGAUUUCACAUUCACAAGAACCCUGGCUUCCAAAUGAGAUUUCUAUUCUUCUAUCUUGUUGACUUUUUCCCUUUUCUUUCAUCAUCUCCAGCAAGGUUAUCCUGAGGCAGGCGGCGCUUUUAUGGAAACAAGGGGGCGUUGGCAGAGGGAUGAGGAGAUGGAGGAGAGGGGCUUCGCCGCCAGCCAUGCCAUAAUCGAUCUUGUUUAAAGGGAUGUAGUGAGCUGAAUGUUUGAACUCCUCUCCUCGUUAACAGUUGUCUGGGAUUUAAUUAAGAAGCCCAACGGAUUUAAUGUCAAUUCCAUUCCCCAAAUGAAGGAGGGAGAAAAGUCACAAAGAAAGAAAGAAAGAAAGGAGAGGCUCAUUAAAGGAGUUGCAUACAUCAUCCUAGUUGAAACAUGACCUUUUCUCUAGUUUAUUAUUUCUCUUUCCUCUUCCUGUCUCUCUUCCUGUCUCUGUAAGGGCCAUUAGCACACAUUGUCACAUCUUUUCUUUGCCGUUGGCGCACAAUAUGAGCAUAUGCAAAUGAGACAAAAUAAAGAUUUCAAUGACAUUGUCACUUUCUGGCUCCCAGUGAAUUUGUCAAGCGAAACAAGAUAUAAGGCCUGUUUCUCUACGAUUGAAGUGAUAAGCUCUUGACUUUAUAGAUUUUUUGGAAUGUCGGAAACCACAAUUAAUGCCAUCAUAUCAUCCUUACGCUGUAUCAUCAACAUGACACUGAAACAAAAGAAUGUGAAAAGAUAAAACAGACAACUCCACGGGAUGACCCACAUUAAAUACAACUUUAUUUAGGUCGGAGAACUUGUAGUUUGUUUAUGUAUAUAUAUAUAUAUAUAUAUAUAUAUAUCUGACGGUCAGUUCUGUUUCUAUUGUGUGCUGAGAGGACAAGCAUUGCCCUGUGGCCUAUGGAAGGCCAACUGUCCACAAGUCUGUUGGCACUCCAUUGGACAACAAUAAGACUGUCACCAUAACAACACUGGCCAUCCUACAGCAACAUUAUCUCUUCUUCCAACCAGCAGCACCCUCUGUUUGAGCAGCCAUAGAGGAGCACGGUGGAGUCUCAGUGAUAUAUUGCUGUUCAUUUGCGAGGAUGGGGUGAGGAUUGGAGUGAGGGACUGAGGAAGGUAGAGAGUCUGUACAUGUGACCCAGCAGUCAUAACAGUCCAGCAGUAUCUCUGUUAGUUUUGUAGUUGGCAGGAGGGGGUGGGGCUCCACCUCAAGGCGUUUUACUCCAUAUCUCCUCUGAAAGGUGUGUCCAGAUGUCUUAUCCAGAUGCUCUGCUACAGGGCUGAUGGAGGUGAGUGGGGCGUCAGUAGGUUAGGCAGGUUGGCACACCUCCAGGCCUAAGCCUGCUUUCCAGGAAGUCUUCUUGUCUUUAAUCUGACAGAUUGGAAGGAGGCUGAGGUAAAAUACUCGGAAAGCGGCGGGGGGGGUCAUGUCUCUGUAGCACUGCGAUGUGUGUGUGUUUGCGCCGGCAUGUGUGUGUUCUCACUGUGAGGGUUCAGUUGGCCUCACUGUUAAACCGAGAUUAGCCAGAUGAGCUCCGAGUUGGACGGGCGGGGAUAGAGGGAGAGAAAGAGAGAUGGAUGAGGACCUGCCCACAGUGGAGUUCAGCGCCAGGGCAGGGGAGGUAGCCCCGACACAGGAACAUGGGGGCAGAGAGGUUAGGGGAGCUGGCCAGGUCACAGUGAGAGGAGAGACACAGAGAGGUUAGGGGAGCUGGCCAGGUCACAGUGAGAGGAGAGACACAGAGAGGUUAGGGGAGCUGGCCAGGUCACAGUGAGAGGAGAGACACAGAGAGGAUAGGAGGGCUGGCCAGGUCACAGUAAGAGGAGAGACACAGAGAGGAUAGGAGGGUUGGUCAGGUCACAGUGAGAGGAGAGACACAGAGAGAAUAGGAGGGCAUGUUGUGGGUAGGGGGAAAGAGAGCACAGAUGGGCAGAGAGGAGUAAGAAGAGGAGUAGGAAGAGGAGUAGGAAGAGGAGUAAGAAGAGGAGUGGGAAGAGGAGUGGGAAGAGGAGUAGGAAGAGGAGUAGGAAGAGGAGUAGGAAGAGGAGUGGGAUGAGUUUAGGCCAAUGGCAGACUUCCACACACUAGUUGGUAAAUCCCAACAUUACAAACUGCGACAUGAGGCUAUACUUCCCUGCAUGCCAACUCUGAGAGGGACAGGGUCUUGCCAGCCACUACUUGCAUCAGUUUACUGUGAGACAGGGAACGUACUAUGCUUACAUGCACAAUUCUGUUGGAGUAUCUGGGUAUUCAGAUGAACUCUGUGGACCCCAGGAAGAGUAGCUGCUGCUUCUGCAAAAGCUAAUGGGGAUCCCAAUAAACAAACAAAUCAAGUGCACUUGGACUCCAAUAUGUUCUGAAUACUGUCUAGACUGUUUGCAUGCUUACUGCUGUAUAAUGAUAUUCCAUUGAUGGUUGCAUGAGGCACAUUUUCCCAAAAGGUAGCAAGCACUAACAACUAAUGCAGAGCAUUACAUCAUUUUUUGUCUUCAAUCACUUCCUUUCAUGUUUAAUUUGUUCCUAAGAGGUCCAAAACGGCCUCUUAACAAUUGCAAAUAUUCACCAGAAAGCUGUCAUGCAAACAACAGUAAUCUGAAUGUAAUGUUUACAUGCCAAAUACUGACAAAUUGUUUAGGAAAGGAGUAUUGUACACUCGUUCCACUUGAAAUUAGCUCAUUCAGAUUACUGGACUCUUGUCCAAUACGGGUGUUUACGUUUUUAAUUCAGACUCAUUGAAUUCCGACUAAUUCCAGAUUAUUAGUGUGCAUUUAAACACAGCAGGUGUGACUAUGAGGAUUGACUGUGACACAAGUGAUUAAACCAGACAGAUCUAUUUUA
ensembl:lncRNA